rnacentral:misc_RNA from 1 species
AGCAGCCGCGGUAAUUCCAGCUCCAAUAGCGUAUAUUAAAGUUGCUGCAGUUAAAAAGCUCGUAGUUGAAUUUCGGGACCAAUAUGUCGGUCGUGCCUCGGUACGUACUGGCAUCGUUGGUUUCUCCUUUCUGAAGAACCAUGAUGUCAUUUAUUUGGUGUCGUGGGGAAUCAGGACUGUUACUUUGAAAAAAUUAGAGUGUUUAAAGCAGGCUCACGCUUGAAUACAUUAGCAUGGAAUAAUGAAAUAGGACGUUUGAUUCUAUUUUGUUGGUUUCUAGGAUCGACGUAAUGAUUAAUAGGGAUAGUUGGGGGCAUUAGUAUUCAAUUGUCAGAGGUGAAAUUCUUGGAUUUAUUGAAGACUAACUACUGCGAAAGCAUUUGCCAAGGAUGUUUUCAUUAAUCAAGAACGAAAGUUAGGGGAUCGAAGACGAUCAGAUACCGUCGUAGUCUUAACCAUAAACUAUGCCGACUAGGAAUCAGACGAUG